rnacentral:rRNA from 1 species
CAGAUUCCUACGGGAGGCAGCAGUGGGGAAUAUUGCACAAUGGGCGGAAGCCUGAUGCAGCAACGCCGCGUGCGGGAUGACGGCCUUCGGGUUGUAAACCGCUUUCGCCUGUGACGAAGCGUGAGUGACGGUAAUGGGUAAAGAAGCACCGGCUAACUACGUGCCAGCAGCCGCGGUGAUACGUAGGGUGCGAGCGUUGUCCGGAUUUAUUGGGCGUAAAGGGCUCGUAGGUGGUUGAUCGCGUCGGAAGUGUAAUCUUGGGGCUUAACCCUGAGCGUGCUUUCGAUACGGGUUGACUUGAGGAAGGUAGGGGAGAAUGGAAUUCCUGGUGGAGCGGUGGAAUGCGCAGAUAUCAGGAGGAACACCAGUGGCGAAGGCGGUUCUCUGGGCCUUUCCUGACGCUGAGGAGCGAAAGCGUGGGGAGCGAACAGGCUUAGAUACCCUGGUAGUCCACGCUGUAAACGGUGGGUACUAGGUGUGAGGUCCAUUCCACGGGUUCCGUGCCGUAGCUAACGCUUUAAGUACCCCGCCUGGGGAGUACGGCCGCAAGGCUAAAACUCAAAGGAAUUGACGGGGCCCCGCACAAGCGGCGGAGCAUGCGGAUUAAUUCGAUGCAACGCGUAGAACCUUACCUGGGUUUGACAUGGAUCGGGAGCGCUCAGAGAUGGGUGUGCCUCUUUUGGGGUCGGUUCACAGGUGGUGCAUGGCUGUCGUCAGCUCGUGUCGUGAGAUGUUGGGUUAAGUCCCGCAACGAGCGCAACCCUUGUUCACUGUUGCCAGCACGUUAUGGUGGGGACUCAGUGGAGACCGCCGGGGUCAACUCGGAGGAAGGUGGGGAUGACGUCAAGUCAUCAUGCCCCUUAUGUCCAGGGCUUCACGCAUGCUACAAUGGCUGGUACAGAGAGUGGCGAGCCUGUGAGGGUGAGCGAAUCUCGGAAAGCCGGUCUCAGUUCGGAUUGGGGUCUGCAACUCGACCUCAUGAAGUCGGAGUCGCUAGUAAUCGCAGAUCAGCAACGCUGCGGUGAAUACGUUCCCGGGCCUUGUACACACCGCC